rnacentral:rRNA from 1 species
CAGCAGCCGCGGGAAUACGAAGGGUGCAAGCGUUACUCGGAAUUACUGGGCGUAAAGCGUGCGUAGGCGGAUCUGUAAGUCAGUGGUGAAAUCUCCAGGCUUAACCUGGAAACUGCCGUUGAUACUAUAGGUCUUGAAUUUUGUGGAGGUUAGCGGAAUAUGUCAUGUAGCGGUGAAAUGCAUAGAUAUGACAUAGAACACCAAUUGCGAAGGCAGCUGGCUACACAACUAUUGACGCUGAGGCACGAAAGCGUGGGGAUCAAACAGGAUUAGAUACCCGCGUAGUCCCUGUCUCUUAUAC